AACAAAGUCGCUUUUUCUGUCAUGUGUCAUGUUGUAUGUCCCUAUGAACGCUCAAAUCUUUAAAACUACGCAACGGAUUUUGAUGCGGUUUUUUUUAAUAGAUAGAGUAACUCAUGAGAAGGUUUUUAUGUAUAAUAACAUCUAUUAAAUAAUGGAGAAAUACUGUUACCCGUGCGAAGCCGGGGCGGGUCGCUAGUUGGGAAUAAUUCGAAUCCGGUUAGACUGGAAGCCGACCCCAACAUAGUUGGGAAAAGGCUCGGAGGAUGAUGAUAUUGCCAUAUUGCAAUCGUAAAUCGUUUGCAGACAAUAUGAUUCAUUAUUGAAUCACAGAAAAGGAUAAACACGUUUAUUUAAAAGAAAAAAUAGUGGAAUGCCACAUACGCUUCAAUCGUAAUUGAGUCGUGAUUGGAUCUCAGUCGGAUGUGAAUCGCAUGUCGCUAAAGUAAAAUUAGCAGGGGCAGGAUUCUGCGCAAUUUUUUCUUUGAAAUAAACGUUUUUAUCCUUUUCUGUCAUUCAAUAAUGAAUCAUUUUGUCUGCAAAUGAUUUACGAUUGCAAUAUGGCAAUAUAGACUAAGAAUAUUAUGGUAAUAUAGACCAAAAUGGCAGACCAAUCGCAAACCAAUCGAAUGUCGUUGGAAUACGAUUGGUCUUAUAUUAGUAACAGAAUGCCCGAUAUGGUUAAAAAAGCUGUUGCGAUGCAAUUUCUAUUCAAUUUUGACAUUAUUAACUUAACAGAAUCGGGCCCCAGAAUCGUGCUCCUGAAAGCUCCUAGUCAUCCGGAUAAACUUGUCAUCACGGGAGAUACCAACUCAGUCAAUUAUAAGGUUGGGCGUUUAGAGAAACACAGUUCCUUACGAGUAACCAUUUAUUACUGAAUCCCAUAUGAAAUGAUACAUGAUUUAAUAAGAUAGACAUACAUAGAUAGACACGCGCACACAUACAUAGGUAAUAGGUAUUCAUUCAUACAUACACUAUACAAUAUCAGCAUACAAACUUCAUAUUUUUGUAAUUUAUUUUUCAGGUGUGACACAACAUCAAUUUCCACACCCAGAAAAGAAUCCUGAGUUAUUCAAAGCCUGGGUUAAUAUAGUUGGUGGAAAACUGGAGACUGCAGAUGAUAUCAAAUUUUACAGAAAGCGAGUCAUCUGUGACAUACAUUUUGCAGACAAGUUUAAGAAUCGCAACAACCGUUUAAAUAACAUAGCUGUUCCUACUCUCCAUCUUCAGGGUAAGAUUUAGAUCUUUAUUCUUGAACUAGAUCGCAAUGCCACCUACUGAGUUAAAAUUGCCAUUAAGAAAACAAAAUUCUUAAUUAUUCACAAUUAAACUGAACUGAAAUCUUUUAGGCCACCUGUUUGCAGUAUAUUAAUAUUUAAUUGGAUAUAAAAUGCAGUUCAUUCACCCCUUAACCAACUCGGUGAAGGUUGUUGUUUAGUGGGAUCUUAGACUUGUUUUUACUAUUUCCAGGUGCUCCAUCACAAGAUGCUCAUAUGCCUCCUGCAACUCCACAUAUACCAACUGAACUUCCUAUGCCUGAACAUAAUAUAUGGGAUCUGCCUUCUACAUCAAAGCAAAUAAUCACUGCUGCACCUCCCAAUGCGUGUGUUAUAGCAGCAGAACAUAAUUAUUGCAGUAAACAUGGUAUACAACAAAGACGGAAACUUAAAGGAGACAAAAAAAAACUGAAAUCAACUUCAUCGCUGGAGAAUGAAUUAAAGAUUUCAAGAUUCCAAAUGAAGAAUUUAAAAACCGAAAUUAUUCGGUUACGUAAACGGAGUAGUAGUUUGAAAGAAAGAUUAGCCAGCGUUGAUAAAAUUAGCAAUACAAAUUGUUUAAAAAAUAACGAGAAAUAUGACAACUGCAGCAAAAAUAUUCACAAACAUGCAGUACACCCAAACUCACAAGAGAGCUCGUGGGCGGAGGUUUACUUUAAAGGAAAAAGUUUUGUCUCUCUCCAU